rnacentral:rRNA from 1 species
UACAGAGGGGGCAAGCGUUGCUCGGAAUUACUGGGCGUAAAGGGCGCGUAGGCGGCCUGCUAAGUCGAACGUGAAAUCCCUGGGCUCAACCCAGGAACUGCGUCCGAUACUGGUUGGCUUGAAUCCGGGAGAGGGAUGUGGAAUUCCAGGUGUAGCGGUGAAAUGCGUAGAUAUCUGGAGGAACACCGGUGGCGAAGGCGACAUCCUGGACCGGCAUUGACGCUGAGGCGCGAAAGCGUGGGGAGCAAACAGG